GCUGGUUCUCCGCGAAAUCUAUUUAGGUAGAGCGUCAUCCGAAUACCCCGGGGGGUAGAGCACUGGAUGGGUAAUGGGGCCCCACAGGCUUACUGAUCCUAACCAAACUCCGAAUACCCGGGAGUACUAGAUGGCAGACACACGGCGGGUGCUAACGUCCGUCGUGGAAAGGGAAACAACCCAGACCGUCAGCUAAGGUCCCAAAGUUAUGGUUAAGUGGGAAACGAUGUGGGAAGGCUUAGACAGCUAGGAGGUUGGCUUAGAAGCAGCCACCCUUUAAAGAUAGCGUAACAGCUCACUGGUCUAAUUUAAGUUGUCCUGCGGCGAAGAUGUAACGGGGCUCAAGCCAUGAGCCGAAGCUGAGGAUGCACGUAAGUGCGUGGUAGCGGAGCGUAGUG
rnacentral:rRNA from 11 species